rnacentral:tRNA from 1 species
GCCCAGGUAGCUCAGUUGGUAGAGCUGCGGUCUGAAAAUCGGUGUGUCGCUGGUUCGACUCCGGCCCUGGGCACCA